UACGUAGGGGGCAAGCGUUGUCCGGAAUCAUUGGGCGUAAAGGGCGCGUAGGCGGAUAUUUAAGUCUGGUGUGAAAACCUAGGGCUCAACCCUGGGACUGCAUCGGAAACUGGGUAUCUUGAGGACAGGAGAGGAAAGUGGAAUUCCACGUGUAGCGGUGAAAUGCGUAGAUAUCGAGAGGAACACCUGCGGCGAAGGCGGGUUGCUGGGCCGACACUGACGCUGAUGCGCGAAAGCCAGGGGAGCGAACGGG
rnacentral:rRNA from 1 species